UACGGAGGGUGCGAGCGUUAAUCGGAAUUACUGGGCGUAAAGCGCACGUAGGCGGUCAGUCAAGUCGGGUGUGAAAUCCCCGGGCUCAACCUGGGAACUGCAUCCGAAACUGCCUUGCUCGAGUAUGGGAGAGGGAAGUGGAAUUUCCGGUGUAGCGGUGAAAUGCGUAGAUAUCGGAAGGAACAUCAGUGGCGAAGGCGACUUCCUGGACCAAUACUGACGCUCAGGUGCGAAAGCGUGGGGAGCAAACAGG
rnacentral:rRNA from 1 species